CGUGGGUGAUCUGCCCUGCACUUUGGGAUAAGCCUGGGAAACUGGGUCUAAUACCGAAUAUUCCCUNNCGGUUGCAUGGUUGGUGGGGGAAAGCUUUUGCGGUGUGGGAUGGGCCCGCGGCCUAUCAGCUUGUUGGUGGGGUGAUG
rnacentral:rRNA from 1 species